rnacentral:lncRNA from 1 species
CCAGACACCAAAAAUACCAAAGAAGAACAUUAUAAAAAGCAGCCUUUGUACCAGCCAGCCACAUCAUUCAGCCCAGCCCAGGCUGGGGCUGGAGGGAAAAAUAACAACUCUCGCAGCCACUAAGUUCCUGCAUCCCAAGUGGGCACCUCAGGAGGUCAUGCCCUGAGUGAAUGUCUGCUAGAGGAGGGGGUUCCAGAGCCAUGGCGGGAGUCUGGCUGCCUUCCCAGCUGGCCUUUGGCAAACCACAGGAAGCUGCCUGAAGCGGCAUGUUUAUAAGGUGACUUGUGAGACUUCCUUAGAAUAGCAACAGGCCUGUUUCAUAACUUAAAAGCUGAAGAGUAUGUGUCUGUGGAGGUAUGAGGUGGAGCUGCAGGACCUUACUUUAGAGUCUGGGUAAUCUCACUAAGGCAGGUCGCUUUCCCACCCUCUGCUUAUCAAUUUAGGGGCUGAUCCUCACUCUGCGGAUGGGACUAUCUUAAACAGAGAAGUGUCACCUACCAGCCAGCCCAAAUCCCUGAGGCUUGAGUGCUACAGUGCUGAACUCAGAAGCUGUUUGUGAGUAAACCACACAGAAGUCAACUUGUGGAAAUGCUAGGAUGAGAGGUCCAGCAGGGGUCUGAGGGAUGCCCUACUCUGUGACAUGCCGGAGCAAAGGGACAUAAAAUAACAGGCAGAAAACCAUAAUCCAAUAUGGGAAGUCACCCCAGAGGUGACCCUGGAGAAACCCCAGAGAUAUACUGGACCCUAAAAAUCAAGCCAAUAAGGAGCAGCCCAGAAAGGAAAAGAGUGCCAUAGUCUCACCUGUGUUUCACGGAGAGCAGCCAGAGCUCUGGAAAGAAACAAACAAGGACACAAGUGCCCCAACUACAUCCUUUUCAAGAUGCGAAUGCUUUCCACUUUCACCCAAGACUCUCAAAGCCUAUGUGUUCAGUGGGCAAAGAACAAGACGACAAGAUGACUUGGUCCAAGACUGCAUGGGCAGCCAACUGUGCAGCAGGAAGUGGCUGAGGCCUCCAGCUUGGAAAUGGUGUGCUCUUACUAAACCACACUUCUCUCCCACCUCCCUCCUGAAAACUCCAGCUUGCACAGGGGGAGUUUCUGAGAAUGAGAAUGAAGCUUUUCUAUAUUGUAGCUGAGGGUUCUAUUACCGUAUUUUCUAAGUCAGAAAUCCAGAUGCAUGACAAAUACAGUGGUACUAAUGGCAACUAAGGGACAGAUUUUUUUUUUUCUUGGCUCACUGCAACCUCCGCCUCCCAGGUUCAAGAGAUUCUCUUGCCUCAGCCUCCUAAGCAGCUGGGAUUACAGGCACACACCACCACACCCAGCUAAUUUUUGUGUUUUUAGUAGAGACAGGGUUUCACCAUGUUGGUCAGGCUGGUCUUGAACUCCUGACCUCAUGAUCCACCCACCUCGGCCUCCCAAGGGAGACAGAUUUUUUAAGACACUGGGAAAAAUCUAGAGUGUGUAGUUGCCAUAAUAAAAAUAUAUCAUUUAAAAGACUGAUUCCACAAAUACUUAUUCAGCACCUGCUAGGCAUCAGGCACUGUUGUAGGCACUGGGUAACAGAGUGGUGAAGAAAACACACAAUAUGUUAUGUAAUGGGAAUGGGCACCCCACUGGGCAGUGUGUUGGGACUUAGGAUCAGGUCUAUCAAGUUAAAGGUAUGACCCAGUGAGAAUACGAUUGGGCAAGUAAUUGUAUUGCAGAUUUUUAACUUCUACUUGAAAAGAGGAUCAAUUUGAACCCGGCUUGACUUAUCAGUAAUAUAUCCCUAACUCCCAGUGAAAAGUCAUCUCUCCCUUCUCUGAGCUCUCCUCUACUUCCUUUGAUCCUCUGAAAAACAUUGGAUCAUUCUAACAUGUGUUAUAACGAUUUAUGCAUGUCUUAUCAGCCUUUGUAGACUCCUUCAAAGCAGGUGUUGCUUCUCUCUCUAGAUCCCUCUCCUGACACUGGACAUUGCCGGCAUUCUCUUCUCUUCUCCGCCCCCAUUCAUCACACAGUUGGAACUCCUUGCACACAGAACUCUUUGCUGUUGUCAGUAUAUGACAGUCUCUAUCCCAGCCCUUUGCCAUUGCACACACAGUUCUCUGUGACAGAACACUCUUUCCUUCUUAAUUUCUUGGGAAAACUGUGACUUUUCUUCAAACAAUCAGCUCAGAAGCUACUUCCUCAGUUAAGUUCCCUAUGACUUCUCUGAGCAAUGUGUGGUCAUGUCCUUUUGCCCUUGCAAGGCUCUAGGCAUAUCUCUGUUAGUUCACUUAUCAUUCUGUUUUUCUUUUUUUUUUCAGUGUUUGUCUAUUGGUCUAUAAGCCCUGGGGCAGAGUCCUCUUUUUAUCUAUCUAUGCCUCUAAGGCCUUGCAUCUGUGCCUGGAAGAGGCCUUCAGUGAAAGUGUGCUGAGCAAUUGACUUGCAUUCUGAAAUACCAAGAAGGUAUCCACAUGACUCUAAGGCUCUCCUGUCUGCCAAGCACCCCACCACUCCCACCAAAAAGCUCAUUUGUCCUUGCUAGAAAUUCUCCCCAGUACUCACUCCUUGGCUUGAAGGCACUGAGACUUCUGUUAGAAUCCAAAUGUUAAGCUGUGGAUACAGCAUUGGAAGGACAGCAUGGAGACCUAUACAGUCCCUAGGUAUCCACAGGGCUUGCAGGGAAAGUUUGACUCCAGGAGUCCUCAUGAAUACCAAAAUCCUCAGAUGUUCAAUUCCCUUAUAUAAACCUAUGCACAUCCUCC